rnacentral:rRNA from 1 species
CCUACGGGAGACAGCAGUGAGGAAUAUUGGUCAAUGGACGAGAGUCUGAACCAGCCAAGUAGCGUGAAGGAUGACUGCCCUAUGGGUUGUAAACUUCUUUUAUAUGGGAAUAAAAUGUUCCACGUGUGGGAUUUUGUAUGUACCAUAUGAAUAAGGAUCGGCUAACUCCGUGCCAGCAGCCGCGGUAAUACGGAGGAUCCGAGCGUUAUCCGGAUUUAUUGGGUUUAAAGGGAGCGUAGGUGGAUUGUUAAGUCAGUUGUGAAAGUUUGCGGCUCAACCGUAAAAUUGCAGUUGAAACUGGCAGUCUUGAGUACAGUAGAGGUGGGCGGAAUUCAUGGUGUAGCGGUGAAAUGCUUAGAUAUCACGAAGAACUCCGAUUGCGAAGGCAGUUCACUGGACUGCAACUGACACUGAGGCUCGAAAGUGUGGGUAUCAAACAGGAUUAGAUACCCUUGUAGUC